AACACCGAAAGGGGAGAUUCACGCUUUCUCGCAUGAGUCGGCUCCCGCAAGGUCAGAUGGCGUCGUUCGCCCGCUCGGUGCAAGCCGUUGCGGGGUCGUUACGGUGAUCACUCGGCGCUUGUGGGGGUUAUGCCGGCCGCGGUGGGCCGCACUUCUCCCUCAGUAGGACGUCGCGACCCGUUGGACGACGGUCGACGGCCCCGGUGGUAGCCCGAAAUGAAGUCUUCGGACUCUCGUCUCGGACCCUGGGAGUCCUGGCCGAUCGUCAGACGGUAUGGAACGCAGGUGUCGGACCGCCCCUUAUAGGGCGUCCGGGCCGGUCGCAAGCUCGGGCGUUCGCUCGGGAUGACGGACCUUGUGUCCGGCUCCCGGGCCCGUCCAGCUGUUGGCGGCCGCGUCCUCGGACGGGUCUUGUAACACCGGUCAGCGAUGUCAGUUUA
rnacentral:rRNA from 1 species